UACGGGGGGGGCAAGCGUUGUUCGGAAUUACUGGGCGUAAAGGGCUCGUAGGUGGCCAACUAAGUCAGACGUGAAAUCCCUCAGCUUAACUGGGGAACUGCGUCCGAUACUGGGUGGCUUGGAUUUGGGAGAGGGAUGCGGAAUUCCAGGUGUAGCGGUGAAAUGCGUAGAUAUCUGGAGGAACACCGGUGGCGAAGGCGGCAUCCUGGACCAACAUUGACGCUGAGGAGCGAAAGCUAGGGGAGCAAACGGG
rnacentral:rRNA from 1 species